UACAGAGGUCCCAAGCGUUGUUCGGAUUCACUGGGCGUAAAGGGUGCGUAGGCGGUCGGGUAAGUCUGGCGUGAAAUCUCCAAGCCUAACUUGGAAACUGCGUUGGAUACUAUCCGGCUCGAGGAAUGGAGGGGAGACUGGAAUACUUGGUGUAGCAGUGAAAUGCGUAGAUAUCAAGUGGAGCACCAGUGGCGAAGGCGAGUCUCUGGACAUUUCCUGACGCUGAGGCACGAAAGCCAGGGGAGCAAACGGG
rnacentral:rRNA from 1 species